AGCUCACAGCAGGCGUCGCUUUGUGGCAUGCCAAAAAUAUUUCUAACAGAACACAAAAAUCAGCAAUAUUGUGCGUGCGUUUUUGUUGUUAGCGUCGCGCAAGCGCAAAUGUCAAUAAACUCAGCAUAAAAAGUAUUAAAACAAUCAAUACGCCAAGCCAAAACAGAUACCAAAAGAAGACGCGGCGCAGCGUGUGAAGUGAAGCCAAAGUCACAGCGCAAAAAACGAGAACGAACAACAGAAUGAAUCGCAAAACGAGCAAAAUGAACGGAACGUCGCGUGGAAUUUGCUGAAAUUGGCAAGAAACAAGCAGCGAGCAGGCAACAGCAAAUCGGCGCAGGUAAUUCAAAUCGAAGACAUGGAAAUUUUAUACGCUGCCUCUAAAAUUGUUGGCACAAAAUAUGUGGGUAACAGCGAAAAAAAAAAAAAAAACAAUAUACAAUAUAAAAAGGGUAGCUGUUUGGCUGCCGCCAGAUCUUGUUAUGUAAAAUGUGUAAUGCACAGUUAUCUGCAGUUAACAUUUGUGUCGGUGUGUGUCGUGCAUGUGCGUGUGUGUAUCAAGUGCACUUGUCGGGCAUCUCUUUGAAUGUGUUUAUCUAAUAACAACAAGCCAAAAGGGAAGAGAACAUGAACAUGAAAAUCGUGGACAAAAUGGCCUAGAGAAAAUAAAUAAACCAAGCAACAUCAACAACAACACAAGCUCAGCUUUUUUCAAUCAACCUGGCGACGACGACGACGACAUCGGCGCAGCAGAGCGCAGCGGCCGCGGCCGCGGUCGUUUGACUGAUAAAGAAGCAAAAGCUUGAAGUAUAAAUAUUAUAUACAGUGCAUACGUUUGAAUGAAUGUACAUAUGUAUGUAUUAACAAUGGCAGCGCUGGGACCGCGACGACUGCGGUGCUUAUUGUAAAUUAAAGUAAAGUAAAACACGAGAAAAUGGUAUUAAAAAGGAAAAUAAUUGCUCGGCUGCGAACCAGACCUGUGACCAGACUAUGCCACCCCCUAUAUCCAAAACACCACUACACCCAUGACUAAUGGUCAACAGCUGCUAAUUGGGCGCUUAGAAAUGAAACUUAACGGUACUGUUUAAUAACAUCUAACACGAGCUAUCAUUUAUUCAUGCAACAAUUUAUGGCGCUUUA